CACGUAGGUGGCAAGCGUUGUCCGGAUUUACUGGGCGUAAAGAGCGCGCAGGCGGUCGGAUAAGUCGAAUGUGAAAGCCCCUGGCUCAACCAGGGAGGGUCAUUCGAUACUGUUCGACUCGAAGGCAGGAGAGGGAAGUGGAAUUCCGGGUGUAGUGGUGAAAUGCGUAGAUAUCCGGAGGAACACCAGUGGCGAAGGCGACUUUCUGGCCUGUUCUUGACGCUGAGGCGCGAAAGCUAGGGGAGCAAACGGG
rnacentral:rRNA from 1 species